GAUGAACGCUGGCGGCGUGCCUAACACAUGCAAGUCGAACGGAACUAUUUUGGAAACUCCUUCGGGAGCGGAAUCUUUAGUUUAGUGGCGGACGGGUGAGUAACGCGUGAGCAAUCUGCCUUUAAGAGGGGGAUAACAGUCGGAAACGGCUGCUAAUACCGCAUAAAGCAUCAAAUUCGCAUGUUUUUGAUGCCAAAGGAGCAAUCCGCUUUUAGAUGAGCUCGCGUCUGAUUAGCUAGUUGGCGGGGCAACGGCCCACCAAGGCGACGAUCAGUAGCCGGACUGAGAGGUUGAACGGCCACAUUGGGACUGAGACACGGCCCAGACUCCUACGGGAGGCAGCAGUGGGGAAUAUUGUGCAAUGGGGGAAACCCUGACACAGCAACGCCGCGUGAUUGAAGAAGGCCUUCGGUGUUAAGAUCUUUAAUCAGGACGAAAAAAUAGACGGUACCGUGAAGAAUAAGACUCCGGCUAACUACGUGCCAGCAGCCGCGGU
rnacentral:rRNA from 1 species